UACGUAGGGUGCGAGCGUUAAUCGGAAUUACUGGGCGUAAAGCGUGCGCAGGCGGUUCGUGAAGUCCGAUGUGAAAGCCCCGGGCCUAACCUGGGAAUGGCAUUGGAAACUGGCGGGCUAGAGUUUGGCAGAGGGGGGUGGAAUUCCUGGUGUAGCAGUGAAAUGCGUAGAGAUCAGGAGGAACACCGAUGGCGAAGGAAGCCCCCUGGGCUGGAACUGACGAUCAGGCACGAAAGCGUGGGGAGCAAACAGG
rnacentral:rRNA from 1 species